rnacentral:lncRNA from 1 species
GCUGUUGUCACUUAGCAUAUGCAACCUUGGGCUGGAUGGGACAUGCUUGUGUUUUUUGGAGUCUAAAUCUGCUGGCUUGGGCACCGAUGCUUUCCUUUCUCCUACUGUCUUGUCUCGGGACAGAGCUUCCAUCUCCACCAACAACCAUUCAGGGAGGAAUUCACACUUCCACAUGGAGGCUUUUCUUUCAGAAAACCAGUCAAGAAACAUCAACCAGGUGAAAGCAGGGAAUGAGACACAAAUUUCAGAAUUUCUUCUUCUAGGAUUUUCAGAGAAACAAGAAUUGCAGCCCUUCCUCUUUGGGCUGUUCCUGUCCAUGUACCUGGUCACUGUGCUCGGGAACCUGCUCAUCAUCCUGGCCGCAAUCUCAGACUCCUGCCUCCACACCCCCAUGUACUUCUUUCUCUCCAACCUGUCCUUCGUAGAUAUCUGUUUUGCCUCCACCAUGGUCCCAAAGAUGUUGGUGAACAUCCAGACACAGAGCAAAGUCAUUACCUAUGCAGGUUGCAUCACCCAGAUGUGCUUUUUUGUACUCUUUAUAGUGUUGGACAGCUUACUCCUGACCGUGAUGGCCUAUGACCAGUUUGUGGCCAUCUGUCACCCCCUGCACUACACGGUCAUCAUGAGCCCUCAGCUCUGUGGACUGCUGGUUCUGGUGUCCUGGAUCAUGAGUGUCCUAAACUCCAUGUUACAAAGCUUAGUGACAUUGCAGUUGUCCUUCUGCACAGACUUGGAAAUCCCUCACUUUUUCUGUGAACUUAAUGAGAUGAUCCACCUUGCCUGUUCUGACACCUUUGUGAACAACAUGGUGAUGCAUUUUGCAGCUGUGCUGCUGGACGGUGGUCCUCUCGUUGGGAUCCUUUAUUCUUACUGUAGGAUAGUUUCCUCCAUACGUGCAAUCUCGUCAACUCAGGGGAAGUACAAGGCACUUUCCACCUGUGCAUCUCACCUCUCAGUUGUCUCCAUAUUUUAUGGUACGGGGCUAGGGGUGUACCUUAGCUCUACUAUGACCCAAAACUUACACUCAACUGCUGUCGCCUCGGUGAUGUACACUGUGGUCACCCCCAUGCUCAACCCCUUCAUUUACAGUCUGAGGAAUAAAGACAUAAAGGGGGCUCUGACACAAUUCUUCAGAGGGAAACAAUAAAAGAGCCAUUUUUCGGCUGGGCACAGUGGCUCAAGCCUGUAAUCCCAGCACUUUGGGAGGCAGAGGUGGGCA